rnacentral:misc_RNA from 1 species
UCACAGCAACAAAUUCGUCACUACUAAUCUUAAGGUCAUCAACUUGAACAGUCUCCCAUUUCUUUGCUAUGGCAUUGUAUUCGAAUGGAACAUUAUGGAGCUCACAGUAUUUUGCCAAGCGGCGGCCANNNNNNNNNNNUUGGACACUCUCUGCAGGGCGGAAACCACUUUGCGGAAGCUCUAUCCCUGUAAUACGCAGCUUUGGAGGCCCACCAGCUCUUUUUGAGAGGCGAUAAAUAAGACCAGGCCACUGGAAACCAUAUAAUAUACCA